GCUGGGUGUGGUGGCACACACCUGUAAUCACAGCACUUGGGAGGCUGAGGCAGGAGGAUCAAAACUUCAAAGCAAUUUAGUAAGGCCCUCAGCAACUUAGGGAGACCCUGUCUCAA
rnacentral:sRNA from 1 species